ACACGAUAAGGGAUAAUAUAUCCGUUGAUACAGAACCAUUCAGAACUUGUUGCUGAUUUAAGAGAUCACGACGCCCGCGUCUUUCGAGACGAUAAGGGGAGGAGGGUUAUCGGGAAGUGAAAAAAAAUUAUCUUGCGGCUAUAGGUAGGUACAUAUUUUAGUGAUAUUUACAUAGAAAAUAAAAAUAAGUUCAACUUCAUAUUGUAACAAUGUUUUAUCCAAAACUAUUGAGAACGUGCAACUGCAACUUAAAACAAUGUAUGUAAGCCGUAGAUAGAGGUGUAUGUAUACAUUAUUUAUGAGAAGGGAUGGGGUUUCUGACCAACCGUU